rnacentral:sRNA from 1 species
AAAAUGGAUAUCAUAACUCGUGGAUAAAUACAAGAAGGUACCGUAGCCAAAAAAAUCAUAUACAGCCUUGUUCGUUUCUCUGUCGCUGGAUUCAGCGACAGCGACCAGCGAUCAGCGACAGCAACCAGCGACAACAUAUAUUGUUCGUUUGUUUGUCGUUGGAUUCAGCGACCAAUUACAGCGACAAUCGCUAAUAACUGUCAAAGUGUUGUUCGUUUGACUGUCGUUAUAAACAGUUGCUAUAUUUUUAAAA